CCCGCCCCUCUCUCCCCGUACCCCGCCUGAGAAUAACUCCGUUCUGAGCUAGAGCUUGGCUAAUUUGAAGGCUUUUAGUAUAUAGAAUUUCUUAUUAUUCAUUUUUUCCUUAGGCUAACGCAAGUAAUUGUCGACCACAAAAAUGACGGCGGCGGCGGCUUUACCAUAGUAACAGGGAAGUCAUUUGAUACACAACCCUGGCACUUUAACUUUAGUUGUGCCCUGUUAGGGAAGGGAAACGCGUGGCCCCGCCCCAGCGGCGUGAGUUUUAUUCUUUUGCAAAAGCUGUGAAUGUUCGGACUGAGAGAAGAAAAGAGAGUCGAGGCAUCCUAGAGAAGGAGGGUUGCUCAGUGUCAAGGCGUCAACAUAGCUGAGGAUAUGGGGAAGUAAAAGCAGAACAAAUCCGCCUGCUUUCAUGUAGCCUGUGGGCUCCCUGUGCUUGGUGGUGAGGGGGCGGGGCGACGGAGGAUGUUGGCAGGCAGGGUAUCAGAAAACAUCGGAACUGGAAGUAUCUUUGAUCCCUGGUAUGCAGCAAGCAGCUAAGAACCAGGAUCUGGGAGACUUGCCUUGGCACGUGGAAUCCAGGGCCUAGCGAAAUGAAGGUGGAUAUCACUGGAUAGCACUUAAACUCCAACAGUAUGCUGCUAGGAUUCAAUCCAGGACACCACAUUACAUUGUUCCCAUAUCUCCUUUGGUUCCUGUUGACUGUGACAGUUUCUCAGAAUUUCUUUGUUUUGAUGACCUUGACAGUAUUUAAGAGUACUACUCAGCCAUGGGAGAACCAGCCAUUUCACCAAGGAGAGCCAGUUCCUUUUAGUAAAUUAAAUUGUCUUCCAGAAUAUGAAAGUUCUAGAUGACUGUAGUAGAACCAGUGGAAAUCCAUUUGGAGAGGAAUGAUUUUGAUGGGAUCCAGUACAUCUUCUCCUUGGAGAUCUUCACCGAGAGGUGCCGGGAGCUGGCACACAAGAUCCCACCCAUGACAAGGUCAUGAGGGAGAAAACCUGACAGGCAAGGUGGAUCAGGUUUUCAGGGGUUUCGAAAAGGCCAGCUCACGAGAUCCCACCCAUGACAAGGUCAUGAGGAGAA